AGAAGCAUGUGAGGAGACGCUCGCAUUAGACCAUUAGCUAGUCAGCGUAUGUCUGGGCCUACAAUGAAUCCUCUCAAAGUGCUCAGAUCCCAAGACCUAAGACAGAUAGUCAUAGGGGCCAGACUGCUCCGAGCCCUCGCUCUCAAGCGCAUUUAAUUAACUGCUCCUGCAAUUGCAAAUUCAAAUAAAAUUUCAAAAAAUCAUACACAUUGUCAAAGAGAAAUGAGUGAACCAUAAGAAAUGCUAUAACAUGCCAUUAUUACUUACAAAAAUUCUCCCAACCGUGACGUUCAUUGGCCUGCCCUUCUUGU
rnacentral:lncRNA from 1 species